GACGAACGCUGGCGGCGUGCCUAAUACAUGCAAGUAGAACGCUGAAGCUUGGUGCUUGCACCGAGCGGAUGAGUUGCGAACGGGUGAGUAACGCGUAGGUAACCUGCCUGGUAGCGGGGGAUAACUAUUGGAAACGAUAGCUAAUACCGCAUAAGAGUAGAUGUUGCAUGACAUUUGCUUAAAAGGUGCAAUUGCAUCACUACCAGAUGGACCUGCGUUGUAUUAGCUAGUUGGUGAGGUAACGGCUCACCAAGGCAACGAUACAUAGCCGACCUGAGAGGGUGAUCGGCCACACUGGGACUGAGACACGGCCCAGACUCCUACGGGAGGCAGCAGUAGGGAAUCUUCGGCAAUGGACGGAAGUCUGACCGAGCAACGCCGCGUGAGUGAAGAAGGUUUUCGGAUCGUAAAGCUCUGUUGUAAGAGAAGAACGAGUGUGAGAGUGGAAAGUUCACACUGUGACGGUAUCUUACCAGAAAGGGACAGCUAACUACGUG
rnacentral:rRNA from 1 species